rnacentral:lncRNA from 1 species
GUGGUCUUCUCCUUGUCCCUUGUCUUUUUCUUCUCAUGAAGUGUCUAAACUUUCUGGUGAUCAGGGCCAAGUCCUCAUCUUUUUCACUAUUGUCUGAUUUUUUUGUGUCUUCUUCUUCCUGAGCUGUCAACUUAAGGGCUAUGAUCCUCUUUCUUCUGAUUUUCUCUUCAGUGUGUCGCUUCAUGGUCAGUUCGUGAGUCAUG